GACGAACGCUGGCGGCGUGCCUAAUACAUGCAAGUUGAGCGCUGAAGGUUGGUACUUGUACCAACUGGAUGAGCAGCGAACGGGUGAGUAACGCGUGGGGAAUCUGCCUUUGAGCGGGGGACAACAUUUGGAAACGAACGCUAAUACCGCAUAAAAACUUUAAACACAAGUUUUAAGUUUGAAAGAUGCAAUUGCAUCACUCAAAGAUGAUCCCGCGUUGUAUUAGCUAGUUGGUGAGGUAAAGGCUCACCAAGGCGAUGAUACAUAGCCGACCUGAGAGGGUGAUCGGCCACAUUGGGACUGAGACACGGCCCAAACUCCUACGGGAGGCAGCAGUAGGGAAUCUUCGGCAAUGGACGAAAGUCUGACCGAGCAACGCCGCGUGAGUGAAGAAGGGUUUCGGAUCGUAAAACUCUGUUGGUAGAGAAGAACGUUGGUGAGAGUGGAAAGCUCAUCAAGUGACGGUAACUACACAGAAAGGGACGGCUAACUACGUG
rnacentral:rRNA from 1 species